rnacentral:lncRNA from 1 species
AGGCUGCCCAGGGAGGGCGUGGGGUCUCCCUCUCUGGACACUUUCCAAACCCACCUGGACACAUGGGCACAUUCCUGUGUCACCUGCUCGGGGUGACCUUGCCUUGGCUGGGGCGUUGGACUAAGCGAUCUCCACAGGCCGCUUCCAGCCCUAACUAUUCUGUGAUGUCGUGAUUCAAGACGAUUUAAAUUUUAAAUUUGGAGGUGACGUGACUCCAUACACUUUGGAAAACUCCGGCCCUCGAGGCUCACCCUAAUUUGAGGUGUCCAGCAGGCGCCACCAAGCAUUGAACAGAUCACCACGACUUCUAAUGGCACAUCAGACACCAGCUCUCUAACCAGCAUGGUAGGCGCCCAAUAUGAGGCCUGCAUCAGGCAGGUGGGAUUUGGACUCACAAUCCUCUCACAGAGCAGGAGGUAUGUCUAAAUCAGCCAGGAGGAAGAGACGAAGAGAUAGCACAUUGGAAAUCCCGAUUUAUCCCAAGAC